rnacentral:rRNA from 1 species
UACGUAGGGGGCAAGCGUUGUCCGGAAUCAUUGGGCGUAAAGAGCGUGUAGGCGGCCCGGUAAGUCCGCUGUGAAAGUCCAGGGCUCAACCCUGGGAUGCCGGUGGAUACUGUCGGGCUCGAGUCCGGAAGAGGAGUGUGGAAUUCCUGGUGUAGCGGUGAAAUGCGCAGAUAUCAGGAGGAACACCAAUGGCGAAGGCAGCACUCUGGGACGUGACUGACGCUGAGGCGCGAAAGCGUGGGGAGCAAACGGG